CCUACGGGUGGCAGCAGUGAGGAAUAUUGGUCAAUGGACGCGAGUCUGAACCAGCCAAGUAGCGUGAAGGAUGACUGCCCUAUGGGUUGUAAACUUCUUUUAUAAAGGAGUAAAGUGAGACACGUGUACCUGUUUGUAUGUACUUUAUGAAUAAGGAUCGGCUAACUCCGUGCCAGCAGCCGCGGUAAUACGGAGGAUCCGAGCGUUAUCCGGAUUUAUUGGGUUUAAAGGGAGCGUAGAUGGGUUGUUAAGUCAGUUGUGAAAGUUUGCGGCUCAACCGUAAAAUUGCAAUUGAUACUGGCAGCCUUGAGUACAGUUGAGGUAGGCGGAAUGCGUGGUGUAGCGGUGAAAUGCUUAGAUAUCACGAAGAACUCCGAUUGCGAAGGCAGCUUACUAAGCUGCCACUGACAUUGAGGCUCGAAAGUGUGGGGAUCAAACAGGAUUAGAUACCCUAGUAGUC
rnacentral:rRNA from 1 species